rnacentral:rRNA from 1 species
UAGGGAAUAUUGCAAAAUGGGCGAAAGCCCGAUGCAGCAACGCCGCGUGGGCGAUGAAGGCCUUCGGGUCGUAAAGCCCUUUUUGAGGGGAUGAGGAAGGACAGUACCCUCAGAAUAAGCCUCGGCUAACUACGUGCCAGCAGCCGCGGUAAAACGUAGGAGGCGAGCGUUAUCCGGAUUUACUGGGCGUAAAGCGCGUGCAGGCGGAUUGGAGAGUUGGAUGUGAAAGCUCCCGGCUUAACUGGGAGAGGUCGCUCAAUACUUCCAGUCUUGAGUGCAGUAGAGGGAAGUGGAAUUCCGGGUGUAGUGGUGAAAUGCGUAGAUAUCCGGAGGAACACCAGUGGCGAAAGCGGCUUCCUGAACUGUAACUGACGCUCAGACGCGAAAGCUAGGGUAGCAAACG